GCAGGGGGAUCGGGGGGCAGCGGGGAUCGGGUCAGCGGGGAUGGGGCCGCAGCCCCCCCGGCCGCUCCCCGCGGUGCUCCCCGGGCUCCCCCGCCCUCCCUCGCUGGGCCCUGCCUGCCCAGCCUCCUAAUCUGCGCUAAGUGGCACUGCCGAUGGAGGCCGCGAUAAAUUUAGAAAGAAAUCUUUGUGUGGGUCAGAGGAGGAACGCGGCGGCCCCGGGGAGCCGCGCUGGGCGGGCGCUCCGCUCUCCCCGGGCUCGUCCCGGCGAUUUCUCGGCGCUGCGAGGGCUCCGGGAUCUUUGGGUGCUGCCCAAAGCCAGAGGCAGCCACGGCGCUCAGAGUCAGAACAGGGCAACCAGAGGUGGAACCCUUUCCCCAACACCAGAAGCUGCCACUGGAAAAUUAACAGGAAAUCUAUUCCAAAACUCUGCGGUUUUCCUUCUCCAGAAGAAAACCACAAAGGACUUUCAACAGGAAGAUCUUAACCCCGAGGAAUUUCUGCAUUUCUCCACUCUGACCCACAGCCAGCACCCCAGGCUCACCCAUUCUUGUCUUUCUGAAGAUGAGAAAGGAAUUUUGCAGCCUCACAGCGCUUCGGGUGUUCUUGGCACGCUGUGAAGGUGCAAAGAACCUUCCCUGUGGCUCCCUCAGGGGUGAGAGGGAGUUUGGGAGCUCAGGACAGCUCUGCACCACCCCGAGGCCCCAUUCUCUGCCCAUCUCGGGGUUUGCAAAACAUUAAAACAUUUUUAGACCCCAAUUCCUCAGCGCUGGCCUUCAGUCGAUCCCAGGGGUUGGAUAAUCUCAUUCACGUCUGUUACUACAAAUCAAACCAGCAGCAAAUUCAAUGGAUCUGAAGGCCAAGAUUAAAGGCUCCAAACACAGGGGAAGUGCCAAGAGCUGUAAAUAUAAUUUUUUUUGAGGGAGGGAAAGGAAAAGCCCUCCACAGAUGCUGUUCUUUUACCUGGAAAUCAAAGACAGAAUCGCGGAAUUUUUAAGGCUGGAAAAGACCUUUAAGAUCAACCCCAACCACUAAUCCAGUACUGCCAGGUGCACCAGCAUGGCUGGAAAAGGAGGAAAAAAACCCAAAAUGAGCUUAAUCAUCUCCCUUUUCCAGCUCUGGGAGAUGCCUUUGUGGCCAUCCGAUGGUGGCUGAGGUUUAGGCUGGCCUAAAGCUGCUGAGCCCAGGACACCGCUGGCUCCCUGCUGGCAUUUCAGGGGUGUCCUGGCCCCACUGAUGCUCCUCCAUCAGCCCCUGAGGGGGGACACGGGAUGUCACCAGAGCCCUCAGAGCCCCUGAACCCCCCGGCUCAGACCAAAAACCCUGCGUGGCCUCGAGGGAAUGAAACAGCAAAAACGGGAGAAGUCCUGAGGGGCUGUGCAGGAUCCGGCACUGGGAGAGAAGAUGGGAAAGGAACUGAUGUGAAACCCGCGUCAGAAAUGGCACUGGGGAUGUUCCUCAUUCCUGGAAUUCAGGCUCCAAUUCCUCUAUUCUCAUUAUUCUUCUAUAAUUCCUCGGUUUCGCCGAGCCCGGGGCUGGCUGCAGCACCGCUGGCUCUGGGCUGGGGCAGGACCGGAUUUUUGGGAGCGGCCCCUGCCAGGGCCGCGUUCCCCGGGCUGCAGCUGCCCUCUAGAGCCGGUCCGAGCGCUCUGGCGGGGCGCAGCCGGCAGAGAGCAGCAUCGGAGCACGGAUGUGCCGCCUCCGCCGCCCUCAAGGCCCGCAGGAUGCUCGGGGUGUGCAGAGCCGGGGCUCUCACCUGGCCCCGGCCCUCAGAAUGGGGAAUUAAUGACGGCAAACAGAGGAAUAAGCAGAUUUUCCCCACCCCAGCAUGGGCUGUUCGGCUGUGAAGGGCUGUGGCAGUGCAGGGCAGGGGUGUUCUCACUGGGAGGGGUGUGCUGGUUCUACUGGGAGAGGGUGAAACCUCCAACCGAGGGGCAGGGCUCAUAAAAAUGAACCAAAACUUGUUUGUGUUCACAAAUUUGGCCUCAGCAAUGCACAGAAGAAGCCACCUUCAACUGACAGUAGAAUUCUGGGGUAGUUCAGGUGGAAAGGUGUGACUUCACUGCUGGGAAAAAUCUCUGAUUUCAGCUGGCAGAAGGGUUUGGGGGCUGCUUGGGUGGGAAAUGGACACACACUGCAUUUAGUGUUGUAUUUGUAUUUGUAUUUGUAUUUGUAUUUGUAUUUGUAUUUGUAUUUGUAUUUCUAUUUCUAUUUCUAUUUCUAUUUCUAUUUCUAUUUCUAUUUCUAUUUCUAUUUCUAUUUCUAUUUCUAUUUCUAUUUAUCCCUAUUCCUAUUCCUAUUCCUAUUCCUAUUCCUAUUCCUAUUCCUAUUCCUAUUCCUAUUCCUAUUCCUAUUCCUAUUCCUAUUCCUAUUUUAUCCUGUUAUAUUUAUGUUAUUAUCCUAUUUUAAACAUGAUGUUUCCAUGCCCAUUCUUUUCCUGCCGAGGUUUCCAGGUGAGGCUCCCACCAGCCAAAGGCGCUGUGGGAGCAGAGUGGGAGCUCACGGACCAGGUGGGAGCACCUGCAUCAACCUCGAACCACGUUCGUGGGAAACCAGGCUGCUGCUGGAAACUGAAAUGGAUUCAAACCCCCCAAAACGGCCCCAAAAACGCAGCAGAGAGGCUGCAGGGGAUGGUGAGAGGAGGGGGUGAGGAAGGAAUGCGAGGGGGCUGAUAAGGAGGGAAUAAUAACAAAAACCUUUUCGGCUGGGCCAGGGCUGUUUACACACGGGCAAAAAACUUCCUGAGCUGGAAGUGCAGCUUUUUCCAGCUUUUUCUAGCCUUUUCCAGCCUUUUCCGCUGGCUCAGCACCGGCCCUGCUCUGCGUUUCCCUCAGUCUGGAGCCUCUGGAGGAACCUUUUGUUUUGCCAGAACACUUGACUGUAACUUUAUUGUCCCUGCUUGGCUGCAGGACAUCCCUGGGCUGUGAAAAGAGCACCUGAGGUUUGAUGGGCUCUGCAGCUGCUGCUGCAGCGCUGAUCAGAUAAAGACUGCAAGGAGAAAAUCACUGCCGGGAGAAAACCGGCCCCAGCUCCCUGUCCCACCUCCCCGGCUAAUCAAACCUCUUUUCCCGGGAAUGUAAUUGGGUUUUCCUGCAUCUGUUCCCCUGGCAGCCGGAGGUCAGGCUGCCCCAAAACGCAGCAGAGCAGGACUCAGUGUCCCCUGGGGGGUUCCUGGUGGGCCUGAGGCAGGGAAUCAGCCCUGGGGAGGCUCAGACAUCCCGGCAGGAGAGGGAAUCGGGAGAGGUCCCCGUUCCCAGAGCUGGUCCCCAUUCCCUCGGUGCAGCUCCAGCAUCCCCACAGGAGCAGGCACUAAGGGCCUCCCUGCGUCCCCCUGCACAUUUUGGGGAAGGAAAUGUUGCUGGUUUAUUGCAGAGUGCCCAGAGCGAGGAAACCCUCACAGAAUCCCGGGAUCACCGAGGCUGGAAAAUCCCUCUGGGAUCAUCGAGUCCAAACUGUGCCCACCCUGGGCACUCAGUGCCACCUCCAGGGGACACCUCCAGGGACGGGCACUCCAAACCUCCCUGGGCACUUCCAAGGAAUUCAGCAGGAAUUUCUCCAUGAGGAAAUUCCUGCUGCUGCCCACCCUGAGCCUACCCUGGUGCAGCUUCCCCGCCGUCGGCCCCGCACAUCACUCCGGAGUCUCAUUUAUUUCCCCAGGAAUUAUCUAAGUGUCCUAAACAUCAACAAACAAACCGAACAAACGAGGUGCUAACAGCCUGCCGCACGUCACUCAUCCUGCAGAGGUUUUUGGGGAGAGGAACGCGCUCAGAGCAAAGCAGAGCCUUCAGUCAUGGGAUUUCUGCUGGGAAAGAACCUCUCGGUGAGGAGUUGUCCCCCCGUCCUGCUGGCAGCAGCCAGAGCCUCGCAUCCCCGCAGGGAUAAACACGCUGCUGUUCCAAGGACACAACAGAGAAGCCGCUUUUUAGGACUUAAUUAUUUUUCUUUUUCAACCGGGAUUAUUUACAAUGAGGUCUGGGAGAAGCAAUUCACACCAAAGCAAACAGCCUGGAAUAUUUUAAUUGUGUUUGAGCGACUCUUGCACCCACAACAAACAGCCCCAGGUGGUGAUGGAUGCUGCUGUCACUGCUUUGAGCACUGUACCAGAAAAAAAAAAACAA